UGAGUAAAGUGGCGUACGGGUGAGUAACACGUGGAUCAUCUACCUCUUGGUGGGGGAAUAACCCUGGGAAACCGGGGCUAAUACCGCAUAAGCCUGCAAAGGGAAAGCAGCAAUGCGCCGAGAGAGGAGUCCGCGGCCGAUUAGCUAGUUGGCGGGGUAAUGGCCCACCAAGGCGAAGAUCGGUAGCCGGCCUGAGAGGGCACACGGCCACACUGGCACUGAAACACGGGCCAG
rnacentral:rRNA from 1 species